UACGGAGGGUGCGAGCGUUGUCCGGAUUUAUUGGGCGUAAAGAGCGUGUAGGCGGUUUGGUAGGUCCGCUGUGAAAACUCGAGGCUCAACCUCGAGACGCCGGUGGAAACCAUCAGACUAGAGUCCGGAAGAGGAGAGUGGAAUUCCUGGUGUAGCGGUGAAAUGCGCAGAUAUCAGGAGGAACACCGAUGGCGAAGGCAGCUCGCUGGGACGGUACUGACGCUGAGGCGCGAAAGCGUGGGGAGCAAACAGG
rnacentral:rRNA from 1 species